AAGGUUUUAAGUUAAAUAAACUAAUAGCCUUCAAAGCUAUAAUUAUAAGAUAUAUCUUUUAAAUCUUA
rnacentral:tRNA from 1 species